GAUGAACGCUGGCGGCGUGCCUAAUACAUGCAAGUCGAGCGAACAGACGAGGAGCUUGCUCCUCUGACGUUAGCGGCGGACGGGUGAGUAACACGUGGAUAACCUACCUAUAAGACUGGGAUAACUUCGGGAAACCGGAGCUAAUACCGGAUAACAUGUUGAACCGCAUGGUUCAACAGUGAAAGGCGGUCUUGCUGUCACUUAUAGAUGGAUCCGCGCCGCAUUAGCUAGUUGGUAAGGUAACGGCUUACCAAGGCAACGAUGCGUAGCCGACCUGAGAGGGUGAUCGGCCACACUGGAACUGAGACACGGUCCAGACUCCUACGGGAGGCAGCAGUAGGGAAUCUUCCGCAAAGGGCGAAAGCCUGACGGAGCAACGCCGCGUGAGUGAUGAAGGUCUUCGGAUCGUAAAACUCUGUUAUUAGGGAAGAACAAAUGUGUAAGUAACUAUGCACGUCUUGACGGUACCUAAUCAGAAAGCCACGGCUAACUACGUG
rnacentral:rRNA from 1 species